rnacentral:rRNA from 1 species
AUUGAACGCUGGCGGCAUGCCUUACACAUGCAAGUCGAACGGCAGCACGGGUGCUUGCACCUGGUGGCGAGUGGCGAACGGGUGAGUAAUACAUCGGAACAUGUCCUGUAGUGGGGGAUAGCCCGGCGAAAGCCGGAUUAAUACCGCAUACGAUCCACGGAUGAAAGCGGGGGACCUUCGGGCCUCGCGCUAUAGGGUUGGCCGAUGGCUGAUUAGCUAGUUGGUGGGGUAAAGGCCUACCAAGGCGACGAUCAGUAGCUGGUCCGAGAGGACGACCAGUCACACUGGGACUGAGACACGGCCCAGACUCCUACGGGAGGCAGCAGUGUGGAAUUUUGGACAAUGGGCGAAAGCCUGAUCCAGCAAUGCCGCGUGUGUGAAGAAGGCCUUCGGGUUGUAAAGCACUUUUGUCCGGAAAGAAAUCCUUGACUCUAAUACAGUCGGGGGAUGACGGUACCGGAAGAAUAAGCACCGGCUAACUACGUG